GACGAACGCUGGCGGCGUGCUUAACACAUGCAAGUCGAACGGAAAGGCCCUGCUUUUGUGGGGUGCUCGAGUGGCGAACGGGUGAGUAACACGUGAGUAACCUGCCCUUGACUUUGGGAUAACUUCAGGAAACUGGGGCUAAUACCGGAUAGGAGCUCCUGCUGCAUGGUGGGGGUUGGAAAGUUUCGGCGGUUGGGGAUGGACUCGCGGCUUAUCAGCUUGUUGGUGGGGUAGUGGCUUACCAAGGCUUUGACGGGUAGCCGGCCUGAGGGGGUGACCGGCCACAUUGGGACUGAGAUACGGCCCAGACUCCUACGGGAGGCAGCAGUGGGGAAUAUUGCACAAUGGGCGGAAGCCUGAUGCAGCAACGCCGCGUGCGGGAUGACGGCCUUCGGGUUGCAAACCGCUUUCGCCUGUGACGAAGCGUGAGUGACGGUAAUGGGUAAAGAAGCACCGGCUAACUACGUGCCAGCAGCCGCGGUGAUACGUAGGGUGCGAGCGUUGUCCGGAUUUAUUGGGCGUAAAGGGCUCGUAGGUGGUUGAUCGCGCCGGAAGUGUAAUCUUGGGGCUUAACCCUGAGCGUGCUUUCGAUACGGGUUGACUUGAGGAAGGUAGGGGAGAAUGGAAUUCCUGGUGGAGCGGUGGAAUGCGCAGAUAUCAGGAGGAACACCAGUGGCGAAGGCGGUUCUCUGGGCCUUUCCUGACGCUGAGGAGCGAAAGCGUGGGGAGCGAACAGGCUUAGAUACCCUGGUAGUCCACGCUGUAAACGGUGGGUACUAGGUGUGGGGUCCAUUCCACGGGUUCCGUGCCGUAGCUAACGCUUUAAGUACCCCGCCUGGGGAGUACGGCCGCAAGGCUAAAACUCAAAGGAAUUGACGGGGCCCCGCACAAGCGGCGGAGCAUGCGGAUUAAUUCGAUGCAACGCGUAGAACCUUACCUGGGUUUGACAUGGAUCGGGAGUGCUCAGAGAUGGGUGUGCCUCUUUUGGGGUCGGUUCACAGGUGGUGCAUGGCUGUCGUCAGCUCGUGUCGUGAGAUGUUGGGUUAAGUCCCGCAACGAGCGCAACCCUUGUUCACUGUUGCCAGCACGUUAUGGUGGGGACUCAGUGGAGACCGCCGGGGUCAACUCGGAGGAAGGUGGGGAUGACGCCAAGUCAUCAUGCCCCUUAUGUCCAGGGCUUCACGCAUGCUACAAUGGCUGGUACAGAGAGUGGCGAGCCUGUGAGGGUGAGCGAAUCUCGGAAAGCCGGUCUCAGUUCGGAUUGGGGUCUGCAACUCGACCUCAUGAAGUCGGAGUCGCUAGUAAUCGCAGAUCAGCAACGCUGCGGUGAAUACGUUCCCGGG
rnacentral:rRNA from 1 species